rnacentral:rRNA from 1 species
GACGAACGCUGGCGGCGUGCCUAACACAUGCAAGUCGAACGAAAAGGCCCUGCUUUUGUGGGUUGCUCGAGUGGCGAACGGGUGAGUAACACGUGAGUAACCUGCCCUUGACUUUGGGAUAACUUCAGGGGAAUGCGGCGAAUACCGGAUAGGAGCUCCUGCUGCAUGGUGGGGGUUGGAAAAUUCCGGCGGUUGGGGCUGGACUCGCGGCUUAUCAGCUUGUUGGUGUAGUAGUGGCGUACCAAGGGUUUGACGGGUAGCCGGCCUGAGAGGGGGACCGGCCACAAGGGGCCUGAGAUACGGCCCAGACUCCUAUGUGCGGCAGUAGGGGGGAAUAUUGCACAACGGGCGGACGUCUGAUGCAGCAACGUCGCGUGCGUGAAGACGGGUUUUGGGUUGUAAACCGAUUUGGCCUGUACCGAAGCGUGAGUGACGGUAACUGGUAAAGAAGCACCGGCUAACUACGUG